GUAGUCGUUAGCGGUAUCCGUAAGCUUUCACGUCGUGCCUUCCACUUUCUUCUGUCUGCCGGCUAGUGGACGUCGGGUGAGUAAGGUCUCACAACGUGCCCAGCAAUGGGGGAUACCAACCCGACAGUGGACCUCCUCCCGAUUUGCCCCAUCUGGGGAAAGCACGGGAUCUUCCCAAAUUGGCCUAUUAGAACGCCCGAUAUGGGAUUAUCCAGUUGGUGGAUGACCGCCCUCUUGGGGGGGCGAUCCGUAGCUGGGUUGUUAUGAUUACCUUCCCAGAUGGGGCUGAGACACUGGCCAUACUCCACGGGGGGGAAGCCGUGGGGAAUUUUGGACAAUGGGGGAAACCCUGAUCCAGCCAUCCCGCGUGUGCGAUGAAGGCCUUCGGGUUGUAAAUCACUUUUGGCAGGAAAGAAACGUCGCGGGAUAAUACCUCGCGAAUCUGACGGUUCCUGCCUAAUAAGCACCGGCUAACUAGGUGCCAGCAACCUCGGUAAUACGUACGGUGCAAGCGUUAAUCGGAAUUACUGGGCGUAAAACGUGCGCACGCAGUUCGCAAAGAAAGAUGUGAAAUCCCAUAACUUAACUUUGGAACUGCAUUUUUAACUACCGGGUUAGAAUGUGU
rnacentral:rRNA from 1 species